GAGCUAGCGAGUUGGGAAGCCCGCUCCGGGGCGUCUCAUCUUGCGAUAACAAAUCCGGAGCUACGCUCGUAGAGACUGAUGCCUGGUUACUUGCGGACGAGGGUGCAAUUCCCUCCGCCUCCACCA
rnacentral:tmRNA from 1 species